ensembl:lncRNA
AUCACUAAAAUAGGGCCAUGUGUCUCAUCCUUAUACUAAAUUUAAUGCAUUUUACAGGUUUCAGGAAUGAGAGUGUUGAAAUGGGCACCAACAUAACGUUACCCUGUACCACAGAAAAGAUGAUGAUUUAUGUAAUCUGGAAAAUCUACUCACGAGAGAAGACCUGUACAAUCUCUGUGACCACAAUCGAUACUGACUACGACAACUGUAAUGAUGGAAAGCAGAUAAUCAGUAAAGAUGGAGAUUACAGCUUGUUCAUCCCUCAGUUUUCAAUCAAGAAUGAAGGCCAGUACAUCUGUGACGUGUCUCACCGUGCCGGGGGCUUUACAGAAACAAUUCAUGUGUCUGCAUACGUCCGUCCGACACUGACUGGCUGGCUGGAAAAGGAUGAAGAUGGUCACACUUUUGCCGUCUGUGAAGCUCAGAGUAAACCAGCAGCUUCCAUUUACUGGGAAUCCCAGUGGAACAUCUCCUCACUCAGAACGAGCUCAUCUAAAAACGACAGUGGACUUUUCACAGUGACGAGCCGUUUACAGCUUCCUCAUGAUGCAUCUUACGCUGAUCUGACCUGCGUGGUCUCUGCCAGCCCCUCCAACUACUGGAAAGAGAUUCAAUUCAACACCUUCGGGUAUAAGGGCUAUUGCGCACUAUUGGAUUUGUCUGGGUAUUUUUGCCUUUUUCAUCAUAACACAUUUGAUCAUCUUUGCCGUCUUUUUGGUAAGAUUCUUAUCUUUGUUUGGAGGGCCAUAGAGCUCUAACACUUCUGCCACCCCUCUAUCCUUUAACCCAACCCCUAUGUUUGAGCUUGUAAAACAAAGGGGUAGAGCUUAGUGGUAGGGGCAAAAUGUAAAACAGGACUGGUCCAGAGUUCCUGUCGUGUAAAUCAGUGAUUUGUUCUUGAUUUUGUAAUUAUAAACUCUUCUUUUGUUGGUGGUGUAACCAGAGAUAUUUGCUAAAGAUCUGGGGCUCUAUUCUACACCCUGUGCACAGCACGCCAACAGUCUAUUUGCCUGCAUAGUUUAAACAGCAAUGGGGUUUAGCAAUAUAUCUAUGCUGAUGGGCGUGGUGGUCUGAAAAUUUGCUGUGUUCAGGUACAUUUCUGGCAUUUUGCUAUCUUGGUGGUGGAAAACACAGGUGCGCUGUUGUGUGUCCAGACACUUAAAUCCGUCCAGUCCAGAAAUGUAUAAUGUUUUUUUUUAUUCACAGAUCAUUAAAAAAUGUGGCCUGCAUGACUGAAAUCUCAACACCAAAAAAAGAAAACCCCAAGGAUAAAGCAUUUAAUUUUCUAAUUAUGUAAUUUAAAUAAUUUAAUUUAUUUGUAUUUAUUAACUAACUAGCUUAUUAUGUAAGAUUUCUGUGUGAUGUAACAGGCAGUUUGCUUUAGAAUAUUUGUUUCUAAUUUCAGGAAUAUGAAGAAGAAGAAGUGGAAGUGGAAAUUGGUUUCUAUGUGAAUGUUGACCAACUUAUGUCCUGAUUUAGACUUGAAACUUACGACCUACACAAGUUCAGUGUUUAAGGGAAGCGGCAAAAUAACUCAAAAAAGAUAGUGAACUUCCUGCAGGUCUAACAGCAGGUCUCGUUGGUGUUUUUUAAAAUGACAGGAUAUUGUGUCGAUUUCUACAGUCUAUGUAUGGAUUUUUUUAGCUUUAAAUAUGUAAUCUUGUUUUAAGUUCUGCCUUUAUGUUUGACAUGACUGGGGUCUAUGCAAUGUAUGCAUCUAAAUGCAACCAGAGCCAUGUGGCGAGAUGUAAAGAAAUUUAAUGUAAAAAGACAAUAUGCAUAAAAUAUAUUAUAUUAUAUUUAAAUAUGUGUGUGAAUGUGUCAUGCUCUGUCUGGAUGUGGUGUGAUUUAAUGCACCCUGUUUAUUUUUUUAUUUCUUCCCAUGAAAGCCAAUUUUUAUUCUUAUUUAUUUAUGUAACACCUUGAAUUUCUUCCAAUAGAAAAAAUAGAAGAGUGAUUAAACUCUCUGUGCACAUGCUCAGUUUGACUGUCUUCUUGCUAACAAAAAGUGAGCCACAUUUGAAACUCCCAAAGAGUUUUUUUUCUAUCAGGUGUAUUUAUUGGAUACUGUAUUGAGAUUAAAUGUCCAGGAAUCCAAACCAGUAUUAGUAGAAUCACUGUUUUUUAAGAUAAACAUAGAAAUGUGGUAGACUGUGGUAAUAAAGAAGGAGGCCGCUCCA